rnacentral:rRNA from 1 species
CAGCAGCCGCGGGAAUACAUAGGGUGCGAGCGUUAAUCGGAUUUACUGGGCGUAAAGCGUGCGUAGGCUGCUAAUUGAGUCGGAUGUGAAAUCCCCGAGCUUAACUUGGGAAUUGCAUUCGAUACUGGUUAGCUAGAGUGUGGGAGAGGAUGGUAGAAUUCCAGGUGUAGCGGUGAAAUGCGUAGAGAUCUGGAGGAAUACCGAUGGCGAAGGCAGCCAUCUGGCCUAACACUGACGCUGAGGUACGAAAGCAUGGGGAGCAAACAGGAUUAGAUACCCGGGUAGUCCCUGUCUCUUAUAC